UAGGGAAUCUUCGGCAAUGGACGAAAGUCUGACCGAGCAACGCCGCGUGAGUGAAGAAGGUUUUCGGAUCGUAAAACUCUGUUGGUAGAGAAGAACGUUGGUGAGAGUGGAAAGCUCAUCAAGUGACGGUAACUACCCAGAAAGGGACGGCUGACUACGUACCAG
rnacentral:rRNA from 1 species